AGUGAACGUUGGCGGCGUGGAUUAGGCAUGCAAGUCGAGCGAUCGUAGCAAUACGGGAGCGGCAAACGGGGUAGGAAUACAUCGGAACGUACCUUUUGGUUGAGAAUAGCGUUGGGAAACUGACGGUAAUACUCAAUAAAGUCGAGAGACCAAAGGUUUACUGCCGGAAGAGCGGCCGAUGCGAUAUUAGGUAGUUGGUGGGGUAAUGGCCUACCAAGCCUGAGAUGUCUAGGGGGUGUGAGAGCAUGGCCCCCACCACUGGGACUGAGAUACUGCCCAGACACCUACGGGUGGCUGCAGUCGAGGAUCUUCGUCAAUGGGCGAAAGCCUGAACGAGCGACGCCGCGUGCGGGAUGAAGGCCCUUGGGUUGUAAACCGCUGUCAGGGGGAUGAACCGUAAGGUUGACAGAGCCCCAGAGGAAGCACGGGCUAAGUUCGUGCCAGCAGCCGCGGU
rnacentral:rRNA from 1 species